rnacentral:rRNA from 1 species
UACGUAGGUGGCAAGCGUUGUCCGGAUUUACUGGGCGUAAAGGGCGUGCAGGCGGUUUGUUAAGUGCAGGGUGAAAGCUCCCGGCUCAACUGGGAGAGGUCCUUGCAUACUGGCAAACUCGAGGGAGGCAGAGGAAAGUGGAAUUCCCGGUGUAGUGGUGAUAUGCGUAGAUAUCGGGAGGAACACCUGUGGCGAAGGGCGGCUUUCUGGGCCUUACCUG